AAGUCGUAACAAGGUUUCCGUAGGUGAACCUGCGGAAGGAUCAUUAAAGUAUUCUUCGGUGCAGCCAGCGCUUCCACAGCGCGGCAGCCCAAACCUUACACACUGUGAUUAGUUUUUUUACUAUUUACUUCGGCUGCGCAAGUGGCCAAAGGUCUUAAACACAAAGAUUUAUAUCUUUUUUUACAAAAUUUAGUCAAUGAAGUUUUAAUACUAUAAUCUUCAAAACUUUCAACAACGGAUCUCUUGGUUCUC
rnacentral:misc_RNA from 1 species